UCCUCCAUAGCUCAGUGGUUAGAGCGUCCGACGGGCACCUGGAAGGUCAUGGGUUCGAUUCCCGUUGGGGAGCUCAGAA
rnacentral:tRNA from 1 species